UGGGGAAUCUUGCGCAAUGGGCGAAAGCCUGACGCAGCGACGCCGCGUGAGUGAUGAAGGCCUUCGGGUUGUAAAGCUCUGUGGAGAGGGACGAAUAAGGGCUGGCCAACAUCCAGCUUGAUGACGGUACCUCUUUAGCAAGCACCGGCUAACUCUGUGCCAGCAGCCGCGGUAAGACAGAGGGUGCAAACGUUGUUCGGAAUUACUGGGCGUAAAGCGCGUGUAGGCUGCUUCGAAAGUCGGAUGUGAAAGCCCUGGGCUCAACCUAGGAAGUGCAUUCGAAACUUCGAAGCUGGAGUCCUGGAGAGGAAGGCGGAAUUCUCGGUGUAGAGGUGAAAUUCGUAGAUAUCGAGAGGAACACCGGUGGCGAAGGCGGCCUUCUGGACAGUGACUGACGCUGAGACGCGAAAGCGUGGGGAGCAAACA
rnacentral:rRNA from 1 species